GUUGGUGAGGUAACGGCUCUACCAAGGCAACGAUCAGUAGCCGGCUUGAGAGAGUGAACGGCCACAUUGGGACUGAGACACGGCCCAAACUCCUACGGGAGGCAGCAGUGGGGAAUAUUGCACAAUGGGGGAAACCCUGAUGCAGCGACGCCGCGUGAGUGAAGAAGUAUUUCGGUAUGUAAAGCUCUAUCAGCAGGGAAGAAAAUGACGGUACCUGACUAAGAAGCCCCGGCUAACUAC
rnacentral:rRNA from 1 species